rnacentral:rRNA from 1 species
UACGUAGGUGGCAAGCGUUACUCGGAAUUACUGGGCGUAAAGCGUGCGCAGGCGGUCGUUCAAGUCGAGUGUGAAAGCCCCCGGCUCAACUGGGGAGGGUCAUUCGAUACUGAUCGACUCGAAGGCAGGAGAGGGAAGUGGAAUUCCCGGUGUAGUGGUGAAAUGCGUAGAUAUCGGGAGGAACACCAGUGGCGAAGGCGACUUCCUGGCCUGUUCUUGACGCUGAGGCGCGAAAGCUAGGGGAGCAAACGGG